rnacentral:lncRNA from 1 species
CCCCUGCACCCCACCUCCUUAUCCCCUUCCCUGCUUUAUUUUCCUUCACAGCACUUAUUGCCAUCUGACAAAUUACAUCAUUUCCCUCUUUGUUUUGCUUUUUGUCUGGCUCCUUCCCUAGAAUGUCUGCUCCAUGAGGGCUGGGACUUUGGUUAAGUCCACUAUGCAUGGUGCCUGGCUCCUGGGGAGUGCUCAACACAAAUUCCAUUUCUUAGUAGGGAUUGAGUAGAGCCUGCAGCAGCGAGGGGUCUGGGGAUACUUAGAAGUGAGCACAUACAACAGAGCAUGGUCUACGGUGUGGCCAGCAGGUGGAGAUGCAGUGAGGCGGAGGGCACCCUGGAACUGAGCCCACUCACCAGUCACAGAACUGGGCACGCGUGCUGAUUGCAGAAGCCUGCCUGGCACAGCCAGGUGGACAGAUGUAGACAAAAAGAGGCCGGCGCCCCCUGCUGGUCAACUCGGCUCUGCUUUCCCUCCGCAGCCCAGAGGGGCCCAAGAAACCGGGAAGAGAAUGCAGGACCGGAGGCCAGAGCUGCCUCCGUGGCCCUGGGCAGGGCUCUUACUGUCUCUAAGCAUCCGCUUUCUCCAUCUGGAAAGGAAGAACUUCUCCCUGUCAUUCCUAAGUCCCAGGACUGCUGCCAGGGUAAAAUGAGGCAAAUUAUGGGCAUAUGCUACGAAAAUAGAAGCUAUUUUGGUUAUUGUUCUUAGCACGGCAUUCUUACAUCAGAGCGAAAAGUGUCUGGGACAUAAAUCUGAAAACGAUACAUUUAAAAUAAAGCAAAGAGUGAAUGGGU